GUCUUUUUGAUUAUAAUUUAAUGUCUCACCUGCCCCAUGAGGAGUUAAAUGGCCGCGGUACACUGACCGUGCAAAGGUAGCAUAAUCAUUAGUUUUUUAAUUGAAAGCUGGAAUGAACGGUUGGACGAGAAAAUAACUGUCUCAAUUUAAUUUUUUAUAGAAUUUUAUUUAUAAGUAAAAAAGCUUAUAUGAAUUUAAAAGACGAGAAGACCCUAUAGAAUUUUAUAUUUAUAUAUAUAUAUAUAUUAAUAGAAUUAAGAUUAUAUAUAUAUAUAUAUACGUAUUUUGUUGGGGCGAUAGAAAAAUUAAUAAAACUUUUUUUAUAUUUAAACAUUGAUUUAUGAGUGAAUGAUCCGUUAUUUUACGAUUAUAAGAUUAAAUUACCUUAGGGAUAACAGCGUAAUUUUUUUCUAGAGUUCUUAUCGAAAAAAGAGUUUGCGACCUCGAUGUUGGAUUAAAAUUAACUUUUGGUGUAGGGGCUAAAAGGUUAGGUCUGUUCGACCUUUAAAAUUUUACA
rnacentral:rRNA from 1 species